rnacentral:rRNA from 1 species
UACGGAGGGUGCAAGCGUUAUCCGGAUUCACUGGGUUUAAAGGGUGUGUAGGUGGCGCUGUAAGUCGGGUGUGAAAUUUCGGAGCUUAACUCCGAAACUGCAUUCGAUACUGCGGUGCUUGAGGACUGGAGAGGAGACUGGAAUUCCUGGUGUAGCGGUGAAAUGCGCAGAUAUCAGGAGGAACACCGGUGGCGAAGGCGGGUCUCUGGGCCGGAACUGACGCUGAGGAGCGAAGGCCAGGGGAGCAAACGGG